UACGAAGGGGGCUAGCGUUGCUCGGAAUCACUGGGCGUAAAGCGCACGUAGGCGGCUUUCUAAGUCAGGGGUGAAAUCCUGGAGCUCAACUCCAGAACUGCCUCCGAUACUGGGAGCCUUCGAGUCCGGGAGAGGUGAGUGGAACUGCGAGUGUAGAGGUGAAAUUCGUAGAUAUUCGCAAGAACACCAGUGGCGAAGGCGGCUCACUGGCCCGGUACUGACGCUGAGGUGCGAAAGCGUGGGGAGCAAACAGG
rnacentral:rRNA from 1 species